CCCUAGCUGGUCUGAGAGGAUGAUCAGCCACACUGGAACUGAGACACGGUCCAGACUCCUACGGGAGGCAGCAGUGGGGAAUAUUGCACAAUGGGCGCAAGCCUGAUGCAGCCAUGCCGCGUGUAUGAAGAAGGCCUUCGGGUUGUAAAGUACUUUCAGUCGUGAGGAAGGCGGCGUCGUUAAUAGCGGCAUCGUUUGACGUUAGCGACAGAAGAAGCACCGGCUAACUCCGUGCCAGCAGCCGCGGUAAUACGGAGGGUGCGAGCGUUAAUCGGAAUUACUGGGCGUAAAGCGCAUGCAGGUGGUUUGUUAAGUCAGAUGUGAAAGCCCGGGGCUCAACCUCGGAAUAGCAUUUGAAACUGGCAGACUAGAGUACUGUAGAGGGGGGUAGAAUUUCAGGUGUAGCGGUGAAAUGCGUAGAGAUCUGAAGGAAUACCGGUGGCGAAGGCGGCCCCCUGGACAGAUACUGACACUCAGAUG
rnacentral:rRNA from 1 species